rnacentral:rRNA from 1 species
GACGAACGCUGGCGGCGUGCUUAACACACGCAAGUCGAACGGAAAGGCCCUGCUUUUGUGGGGUGCUCGAGUGGCGAACGGGUGAGUAACACGUGAGUAACCUGCCCUUGACUUUGGGAUAACUUCAGGAAACUGGGGCUAAUACCGGAUAGGAGCUCCUGCUGCAUGGUGGGGGUUGGAAAGUUUCGGCGGUUGGGGAUGGACUCGCGGCUUAUCAGCUUGUUGGUGGGGUAGUGGCUUACCAAGGCUUUGACGGGUAGCCGGCCUGAGAGGGUGACCGGCCACAUUGGGUCUGAGAUACGGCCCAGACUCCUACGGGAGGCAGCAGUGGGGAAUAUUGCACAAUGGGCGGAAGCCUGAUGCAGCAACGCCGCGUGCGGGAUGACGGCCUUCGGGUUGUAAACCGCUUUCGCCUGUGACGAAGCGUGAGUGACGGUAAUGGGUAAAGAAGCACCGGCUAACUACGUG